rnacentral:rRNA from 1 species
GGGUCAGUAGGUUGGUCGUGCCACCGGUACGUACUGGUCUCACUGAUUCCUCCUUCCUGAAGAACCGUAAUGCCAUUAAUUUGGUGUUGCGGGGAAACAGGACUGUUACUUUGAAAAAAUUAGAGUGUUUAAAGCAAGCUAACGCUUGAAUACAUUAGCAUGGAAUAAUGAAAUAGGACGAUCGACCCUAUUUUGUUGGCUUCUAGGAUUGACGUA